CGCAUGCCAGGCGAGCACGCUACCGCUUGAGCCACAUCCCCAGCCCCUUAUUUUUUAUUUUGAGACAGGGUCUUGCUAAGUUGCUCAGGGCCUUGCUAAAUUUCUGAGGCUAACCUCAAAUUUGUGAUCCUCCUGUCUCAGCCUCCCAAGUUGCUGGGAUGACAGGUGUGUACCAUUUAUUUAUUUUUAAAUUUUUAGACAAGGUCUCACUAAAUGACCCAGACUGGCCUCCAACCUGUGAUUCACCUGCCUCAGCAUCCUGAGUAGUGAGGAUUACAGGCAUGCACCACCACACUGUCUCACUUUGUUUUCAUUAAUGUCUUUUUGAGGGCGGGGACAGAGGGAAGAGGGUAAGCAAGGAGCUGGCAGAAGGAGGGAGGGGAGGAUGGCUCAGUAAAUGAGCUACUGACUGAAUGUCUGUAAUGUCUGUCUGGUUCUUUCUGGGUGCUUACCUACCUCUGCUUUCUGUAAUUCCUAAAAUGGUUGUUCUCUAAGGCACCAGAGAAAAAUGGAGGCUGCCAGUUUAGGAAGUAAGUUCAGAAUUUCAUAGCUUCUUCCCUUUGCAGGAGGAAAUUUCACCCUCUCCUACUUUGAAUGACAAUGGUUAGCAUGCACCCUAUAGGUACCUAAAACUUAGAAAAGCUAUCACCAGAAUCUUGCAAAUCCCUCCAGGCCCUUGAAGGAAAGAGGCUAGUGAGAUUCUCUCCAGUUUACUUAAUCAUGCCUGGCUAUUGAGCACCUGGCAGCAAGGCCUCCAAAUUCUAGUCCUUACACAUCCCACCUCUCCCCUCUCCCAUGGCUGUUCGCCCUCCCCUGCACUUCUCCAGGAGUAGAGGGUGCCUAUAAGAUGGUAUGACAUGGGAGGGGGAGGGCAGAAUGAUUAAUGUCUGCAUCUGUAUCUCUUAUUAAACUGCUGUGAAAGGAAAUGUCAAAUAUUUAUCUAAGAGACUAAUCCAUCCUAACAAAACAAGUUUGCUAUGAGGACAGGGUUGGGCUGAGGUAGGAGCCUCUGAAUAAAGCUUCUUUGUAUCAAUGUGAAUGGUCACACCAGGAAAAUAACUUUUUCCUUCAUGGAGGAGUGUACUGCUCUCCGAAAACUGGUACCUAGCCCAUAGCCAGUCUAUACCAGGCAGAGGUCAAAGCCUGUGGCAGUCUUGAGACUAUAUGAUUAUUCAUUCUCUCUCUCUCUCUCUCUCUCUCUCUCUCUCUCUCUCAGUUGUAGAUGGAUACAAUACCUUUAUUUAUUUAUUUAUUUAUUUUUAUGUGGUGCUGAGGAUAGAACCCAGUGCCUCACUCAUGAACCCAGUGCCUUACACAUGGUAGGCAAGCACUCUACCACUGAGCUACAACCACAGCCCAAGGUCAUUCUCUUCUGGUAUUCUCUCCUUUUGAAUCAUAGCUUUGCCUUGAGCCUGCUGAAUAUUUUGGUGCCUAUGUCAAGGAGCACAAACUUCCUGAGCAGUAGAGCCUGUAUUUAAUUUUUUUUAAUAUUUUUUUUUAGCUGUUGAUGGACCUUUAAUUUAUUUAUUUAUAUGCGAUGCUGAAAAUCAAACCCAGUGCCUCACACAUGCUAGACAAGCACUCUACCACUAAGUUGCAACCCCAGCUGUUUUUAAUUUUUUGUAAAGCUUUUCUUUGGGUGAUGAUAAACUAUUUUCUUAUUCAUGUAGUUCCCUUCCCUUAAAGUUCUUCUCAUGUCUACCUGGGCAACUCUGAUUCAGAAGCUCAGAUCAGAUUGCCCCUUGUUUAUUCAAGAGCUUUCCCUGUCCACCCCUGCAAGAUAGCUGGCAUGUAUCAGCUCACUAUGGGCCAAGUAUGGUGCCAGGGCCUUAUAUAUAUCAAUAACUCUAUGAAAUAGGUACUAUUUUAUUCUGAGACCCAGAGAAGUCAAGUGACUGCUAGUGUCACAUGGCUAUGAAGGGCAUAGCCAA
rnacentral:lncRNA from 1 species